AACGAACGCUGGCGGCAUACCUAACACAUGCAAGUCGAACGAGACCUUCGGGUCUAGUGGCGCACGGGUGCGUAACGCGUGGGAACCUGCCCUUAGGUUCGGAAUAACUCCCCGAAAGGGGUGCUAAUACCGGAUAAUGUCUUCGGACCAAAGAUUUAUCGCCUUUGGAUGGGCCCGCGUUGGAUUAGCUAGUUGGUAGGGUAAAAGCCUACCAAGGCGACGAUCCAUAGCUAGUCUGAGAGGAUGAUCAGCCACACUGGGACUGAGACACGGCCCAGACUCCUACGGGAGGCAGCAGUGGGGAAUAUUGGACAAUGGGCGAAAGCCUGAUCCAGCAAUGCCGCGUGAGUGAUGAAGGCCUUAGGGUUGUAAAGCUCUUUUACCCGGGAUGAUAAUGACAGUACCGGGAGAAUAAGCUCCGGCUAACUCCGUG
rnacentral:rRNA from 1 species